GCCUUCGUGGUAGGAUACUCGGCUCAUAUUCGAGAGGUCCUGGUUCGAGUCCUGGCGAGGACA
rnacentral:tRNA from 1 species